GGGGAUGUAAAGGUUUCGACGGGGAUUUCAAACCUUGGUAAGCGAGCGGCGGUGCGGAACCGCCAUAAAAUCCGCAACUUUAAAAUUAACUGACAACAAAACAGUUGCUUUAGCAGCCUGAGUGCUGCUCGUUCCUGUACAGAGUACCUCGGCUGUGUAAGGGGCGUCGAUUAGAGGUAAAUGUGAACAGGGGAGCGCUCCGAACCCUGUCACAGCUUAGGAGCUGCCAAAGUGCAUAGCCUGUUGAUGGGCGAUGCACCGAGGGAGAUUUAAAACACCAACUGCGCUCGGAGAAACCCUUGGCAAGAUUUUUUCGGACAGGGGUUCGACUCCCCUCAUCUCCACCA
rnacentral:tmRNA from 1 species